UACGAAGGGGGCUAGCGUUGCUCGGAAUUACUGGGCGUAAAGGGCGCGUAGGCGGACAGUUUAGUCAGAGGUGAAAGCCCAGGGCUCAACCUUGGAAUUGCCUUUGAUACUGGCUGUCUUGAGUUCGGGAGAGGUGAGUGGAAUGCCGAGUGUAGAGGUGAAAUUCGUAGAUAUUCGGCGGAACACCAGUGGCGAAGGCGACUCACUGGCCCGAUACUGACGCUGAGACGCGAAAGCGUGGGGAGCGAACCGG
rnacentral:rRNA from 1 species